CAAUAAAUUUAUGACAUAAAGUACAUAUUCUCUCUGGUCUAGGUAUAUUUUGCCAACGGCCUGUCUCAAUUGGAAUACGUAAGUUCGAUGUCCUUAAUUUAGUUAUCCACCCUCUAUUCUGUUCAGAUAGUCUGAUCAGAUAUUUUUCUAAUCCAAAGUCCUUUUUAAAUGACCCAUAAAAUUGUCCCCGGGAUGAAUUUUCUAUAUCGCCAAACCAUGAGGUAAUAAACUGAUCACUCAAUAUACGAUCGAGAUAAGUUUUAUCACAAAAGCCAAUUUGGUUCAUGAAAAUAUAUCCUAGACCAGUGUUGUUAAAUAUUGAUUCGACAGAGUCGAUCCAUUUGAAAACAUAAUGGCCAUGAUUCUUCAGUGAUAACAUCAGCCUGUACAAAGAACUACUGAGUUUACUGCUAUUGUUUACAACUUUACACCAAUACGAAAUCAUUCUACAUUUAACUCGAAUUUGCAGAGGGAAUCUUCCCAAUUCUCCAUACACCAUAAAAUUGGGUGUAGUAUUUCUAACUUUUAAAAUUCUUUUGCAAAAUUUCAAAUGCAUCUGUUCAAUAAUUUUCAAAUUCUCAAAACCCCAAACUUCAGAACCAUAUAAAAGAAUGGGUUCUAUCAUGGAAUCAAAUAAUUUCAGUUGUAAAUCUAUAGGAAUUUUUUCGUUUCUAACAAUUCUAUGUAUAAAAUGCAUCGAUUUAUGUGCUUGAUCAAUUAGUUUCUUUUUGGUAUCUAAAAA
rnacentral:lncRNA from 1 species